GAUGAACGCUGGCGGCGUGCCUAACACAUUCAAGUCGAACGGUGUUACUUUAGUAGCAAUACUGAGGUAACAUAGUGGCGGACGGGUGAGUAACGCGUGAGCAACCUGCCUUUCAGAGGGGGAUAACACAGGGAAACCUGUGCUAAUACCGCAUGAAGUAUCGUGAUGGCAUCAUCGUGAUACCAAAGGAGCGAUCCGCUGAAAGAUGGGCUCGCGUCCGAUUAGAUAGUUGGUGAGGUAACGGCUCACCAAGUCGAUGAUCGGUAGCCGGACUGAGAGGUUGAACGGCCACAUUGGGACUGAGACACGGCCCAGACUCCUACGGGAGGCAGCAGUGGGGAAUAUUGGGCAAUGGGCGAAAGCCUGACCCAGCGACGCCGCGUGAAGGAAGACGGCCUCGGUGUAACGUUACAGUUAUACGGACGAAGAAAGUAGACGGUACCGUAACGAGAAAGACCACGGCGUAACUAACGUGCCACGCAGCCGCGGUAAAGUACGACGUCGC
rnacentral:rRNA from 1 species